GUCGAAAAUUCUUCGAAGGUUAGGUGUUGUUCUCCCAGAACUCGGUGAAGAUGAUGCCGCCCGCGCUGGGCCACGAAGGUGCAUUGAAGUGCCAGCUGAUGUUCAUAUCGCUGAUGGCUUUGAAGAAUGAUUCAUCUAGCGAGGCAGUGAUCUCUUCAUACUCCCUUUUAAUUGCUUUGUUGGCUUUAGUAAAAUUCGUGCCAUUGUCACUGAAGAUGUGACGGGGUGCUCCACGCCGGGCGGACAUUCUCCGUAGAGCAGCCAGAAAUGAUUCGGAGCUUAGGUCUGAAACUAGCUCUAAGUGCACUGCCUUUGUUGCCAUGCAAACAAACACAGCAAUGUAGCCCUUAGUCGUUUUGAUGCCGCGACCCUUGCUUGCCUUCACUGAUACGUAUCCUGUAUAGUCCACACCGGUA